GCUCCCAUGGACAAGUUGGCUAAGUUGGUGGCCUUUCAAGCCGCAGGCGUGAGUUCAAUCCUCACUGGGAGUGCCA
rnacentral:tRNA from 1 species